AUGAACGCUAGCGGCGUGCCUGAGAUAUGCAAGUCGAGCGAAGUUCAUUUGGACCCGCAAGGGACUGAAUGAAUUCAGCGGCGGACGGCUGAGUAAUAUGUAGGAAUCUGCCCCUUUCUGGGGGAUAGCCCCGCGAAAGCGGGGAUAAUACCCCAUGGUCUCCCCCUUAAAAGGGAGUAAAGGACGUAACUGUUCGGAAAGGGAUGAGCCUGCAUCCUAUCAGGUAGUUGGUGGAGUAAUAGCCCACCAAGCCUAUGACGGGUAGCUGGUCUGAGAGGAUGGCCAGCCAGAGGGGGACUGAGACACGGCCCCCACUCCUACGGGAGGCAGCAAUCAGGAAUAGUCGGCAAUGGGCGAAAGCCUGACCGCGCGACGCCGUGUGCGGGAAGAAGCUCUAAUCGAGUGUAAACCGCUGUGGUAGGGGAAGAAGUCCCGCAAGGGAUUGACGGUACCCUAUUAGAAAGGAGCCGCUAACUGCGUGCCAGAAGCGUCGGUAAUACGUGGGCUUCAAGCGUUAUCCGGUAUCAUUGGGCGUAAAGGGUCGUGUAGGCGGUCCAAUAAGUUAUCUUUUAAAGCUCACCGCUCAACGGGGAAAUUGGAGAUAAUACUGUUGGACUAGAGUUUUCUUAAGGGAGAAUGGAACUGAGAGAGGAGUAGUGAAAUGCGUUGAUACUCUCGGGAACACCAGUGGCGAAGGCGAUUCUCUGGAAGAAGACUGACGCUGAGACACGAAAGCUAGGGGAGCGAAGCAGAUUAGAGACCUGCGUAGUCCUAGCCAUAAACGAAUGUUUGCUAGCUGCAUGAAGUCAGCUUUUAGUUGAGAGCAUAUGCUAUCGACUGAAAGCUGAUUUCGUGUGGCGAAGGUAACCCGUUAAGCAGACCGCCUGGGGAGUACGACCGCAAGGUUAAAACUCAAAGGAAUUGGCGGGGAGGCACACAACCAGUGGAACAUGUGGUUCAAUUCGAGACGAACCGAAGAACCUCACCAGGGUUUGACAUGCUAUGGAAAUUUCCCGGAAACGGGAAACCUCCGCAAGGACCGUAGCACAGGUGCUGCAUGGCUGUCGUCAGUUCGUUCCGUGAGGAGUGCCCUUAAGUGGGACAACGAACGCAACCCCCAUCUUGUGUUAGAAAUGUCACAAGAGACUGCUCCCGCUUUAGCGGGGGAGGAAGGAGGGGCAGAUGUCAAGUCAGCAUGGUCCUUAUACCCUGGGCUACACACAUGUUACAAUGAUGAGGACAAUGGGCCUUGCCAACUCGUAAGAGUGAGCGAAUCCCAUAAACCUAUUCUCAGUGGGGAUUGAGGUCUGAAACUCGACCUCAUGAACGCGGAAUUGGUAGUAAUCGCGGAUCAGCUACGCCGCGGUGAAUACGUUCUUGCCUCUUGCACACACCGCCCGUCAAGCCAACAAAGUCGGAAAUAUCUGAAUCUCGAUUUAUCGGGAGAGGUUAUUUUCGGCGAUGAGGGUU
rnacentral:rRNA from 1 species